UGAGCAAUCUGCCCUUCUCUUCGGAAUAAGCGUGGGAAACCGCGUCUUAUGCCGAAUACGACCUCCUUUCGCAUGAUCGGAGGUGGAAAGCUCCGGCGGAGAAGGAUGAGCUCGCGGCCUAUCAGCUAGUUGGUGUGGGUAAUGGCCCACCAAGGCGACGACGGGUAGCCGGCCUGAGAGGGUGACCGGCCACACUGGGACUGAGACACGGCCCAGACUCCUACGGGAGGNAG
rnacentral:rRNA from 1 species